rnacentral:lncRNA from 1 species
GCCUCACUCGUCUUCAACAUCAACGAUUCAUCUACGGUCACCAUCAUCGGCCGCCACCUAUACUAAAGCCGGCAAACCACUUCGACUACCACCAUUUCAUUUGAGUCGCCCGGUGCUCCUCUGUCGUAUAUACACCGCUAGAAACCAUUUUCGCCACCUCCAAGGUCAAACUCCGUUCCUUCUCAUCAUGAAUCGCCACCAAACAACUCCCACAACUUCAUCCCUACCGGUGGUUGCCUGUCUCUCUGACUGCCCCACCUCUACCUCACACUUUCAUAGCAAGCCCAUAUUGUCCACAAUUAACACAGUCGUCGUAGUCAACAUCAAGGGCCACUGUCGGAAGAACAAUUCUAAAGCGUGCGACGACGAGACCGCUGUCGGUAGAGAGUGAAAAAAUCCACAGCCAUCUCCAUAUCCCUUGACUACAUCAACACCCCUGCAAAUUCAGUACACACCAACAUCCCCACAUAUUCACUACAUCGCCACGUGCGACGACGAGGUGCUCUAAAAACAAGUCGGGUUGCUGAAUCGACGAC